GGCAUAUAUACACCAUGGAAUAUUAUGCAGCCAUCAAAAAUGAUGAGAUCAUAUCCUUUUCAAGGACUUGGAUGGAGCUGGAAGACAUUAUCCUCAGCAAACUAACGUAGGAACAGAAAAACAGACACUGAAUGUUCCCUCUUAUAAGUAGGAGCUGAACAAUGAGAACACGUGGACACAGGGAAGAGAGCAACACACACUGCAGCCUGUCAGGGGUGGGAUGGGAAGUAGAAGCUUCUGAAAUUUGGGUGCUGAGAUUUUUUUGACAUAACCCUGGAAGUCUUUGAGAGCUUCCUUGCAUUCUGGAAUGACAAGAUAUUAUAAGUUCUUUUGGUACAUUUUCUGUGCUGGAUUUGGAACCAGCUGUUUCUCCAAGGAGCCCUGGUUUCUUUAGUGGGAAAUAGUAAUCAGAAAAUAAUCUGGCCUUAGAGGUGCUUGUUUCAUUGUUUCUUCUGGGUGGGUCACCGUUUCUAGAUGUCUUCUAUGGAAAAUGGUUUUCAUUUUCUCUUUAUGCACCAUGUUUUUGAAAAAUAUGCAUAUAUAUAUGUAUUUCAAAAAUUUUAAGGAGUUAUCUAGAUUUUAGAGCUAUGUUUUACAUUAAAACAUAAUGUAAGUUUAAAACAUAUAUGGUAUUCAACUUUAUGCUUUUUCUAUUAAAAAUAAAAUAAAUGUUAAAAAUAUAUGUGGUACCCAACGUCAUCUUAGUUCUCUAAGACCAAAAAAAAAAUUAUUUCAAGAUUGGUCUGAGAGUGUGGUCUGGCAUUUCAAACAAAGCACUAAGUACCUACUAUUCAUCUAGCAAUAAAUAUCUUUAAGGAUACCAGUAAAAUAAGCAAAUGAGAA